GUUCCUGACCCACCAAACAGCAGAAAGAUACAACAUUGCUGGUUUGAGCCGUUACAUUUAGGAGGGGACUUCUGUACAGCAACAGGCUGGAAUAAAACACAAGAUCCUUGGAAAGACCUCCCCACCAGGCCCUGCGUGACCCUGCCUCGCUGAUCUUCUGUCCUGUCUCUGGUCCAGCGACGCCGGCCCUUCCAGACCCAGAUUCCGGUUUUCCGUCUGACUCUUCCCUGCCCACUGGCCUCCCUUUGCGCCAAUCUGCCACUACUCCUGAUAUGACAGUGCUCCCAGGGUAUCUCCAAAUGCAGGAGCUCCCACCAGCUCAGCCCUUCCGAGAAAGGUUCAACAGAGUUACCGCAUGGAACCUGCAAUUCCACGCCUGGGAACGCAACCCAAGAGAGAUGGAAACCAAUGUCCACAGAAAACCUUGUACAAGGCUGUUCACACCAGCAUUAUUCAUAGAAGCCAGAGAGGAGGAACAACCCCAAUGUCCAUAUCCAAUGGCUGGAUAUGAAAAUGUGGUGUAUCUACACAGUGGAAUAUUAUUCGUCCAUAAAAAGGAGGGACGGAUUGAUCUCGACAUUAGCACAGAUGAACCUUGAACACAUCGUACUAAGUAAACAAAGCCAAAGGCAAGAUGGUGAUUCCACUCAUAUGAAAGGCCCCGAACAGGGGCGCCUGGGUGACUCAGUCGGUUGAGCAUCCGACUCUUGACUCCUGAAUUCACGGUUCGUGAGAUCGAGCCCCGUGACAGGUGUCGCAUGAAAUGUAUACUUUCA